rnacentral:miRNA from 1 species
UACCUCACUGACCAAAAGGGGUUACUCUAGGUCAGUGGAUGAGGUUGCUGUACCUCAUUGACUGAGAGGAAAGCCUUCUGGUCAAUGAGGUA